rnacentral:rRNA from 1 species
UACGUAGGGCGCAAGCGUUAUCCGGAAUUAUUGGGCGUAAAGCGCUCGUAGGCGGUUUGUCGCGUCUGCCGUGAAAGUCCGGGGCUCAACUCCGGAUCUGCGGUGGGUACGGGCAGACUAGAGUGAUGUAGGGGAGAUUGGAAUUCCUGGUGUAGCGGUGGAAUGCGCAGAUAUCAGGAGGAACACCAAUGGCGAAGGCAGAUCUCUGGGCCGUAACUGACGCUGAGGAGCGAAAGCAUGGGGAGCGAACAGG